rnacentral:rRNA from 1 species
AACGAACGCUGGCGGCAGGCUUAACACAUGCAAGUCGAACGGGUGUAGCAAUACAUCAGUGGCAGACGGGUGAGUAACACGUGGGAACCUUCCUAGGGGUACGGAACAACUCAGGGAAACUUGAGCUAAUACCGUAUACGUCCGUGAGGAGAAAGAUUUAUCGCCCUUAGACGGGCCCGCGUCGGAUUAGCUAGUUGGUGGGGUAACGGCCUACCAAGGCGACGCUCCGUAGCUGAUCUUAGAGGAUGAUCAGCCACACUGGGACUGAGACACGGCCCAGGAUCCUACGGGAGGCAGCAGUGGGAAAUCUUGGACAAGGGGCGCAAGCCUGAUCCAGCCAUGCCGCGUGAGUGAAGAAGGUCUUCGGAUUGUAAAGCUCUUUGGCCAGGGACGAUAAUGACGGUACCUGGAGAAUAAGCCCCGGCAAACUUCGUGCCAGCAGCCGCCGUAAGAC